AUUCCUGUUUUAGUCCCAUUCAUCUUCCUCUGCUCAGGAUGUGUGGCUAUGCUAACAGGAUAUAUGAACUGUCUGUCAGAGUCUGAAGGGGUAGAUAGCUACACGCACUGCCUCUAUAUGUACUGGCAGAACAUCAGUCA
ensembl:snoRNA